rnacentral:misc_RNA from 1 species
AACGCACAUUGCGCCCGCCGGUAUUCUGGCGGGCAUGCCUGUUCGAGCGUCAUUUCAACCCUCGAGCCCCGCGAUUGCGGGGCUCGGCGUUGGGGACCGGCCGCCGCUCCGGGCGGCCGCCCCCGAAAUCCAGUGGCGGUCACGCCGCGGCUUCCUCUGCGCAGUAGCAAUCGCCUCGCAGCUGGGACGAGGCGCGGCCACGCCCCGACACAUGACAUCUCGUGGUUGACCUCGGAUCAGGUAGGAGUACCCGCUGAACUUAA